GCCACAAACAUGGAGACCUUGUACCGUGUCCCGUUCUUAGUGCUCGAAUGUCCCAACCUGAAGCUGAGGAAGCCGCCCUGGUUGCACAUGCCGUCGGCCAUGACUGUGUAUGCUCUGGUGGUGGUGUCUUACUUCCUCAUUACCGGAGGAAUAAUUUAUGAUGUUAUUGUUGAACCUCCAAGUGUUGGCUCUAUGACUGAUGAACAUGGGCAUCAGAGGCCAGUAGCUUUCUUGGCCUACAGGGGCUAUCUGAUGGGUUAGAGUGCCUUUGAGAAGAAAUCAGUGGAUACUGGAUUUGCUCCUGUCAAUGAAGUUUUAAAGGCUGUACCAAUCCUCCAGUAUGACAUGUGGAAAAGAAUGAAGAGCAGCGGUAAAAGAAAGGAAGUGUAUUGAAGCUUGCACUAGAAUUUCUUCUUGGUAUUAAAGAGACAAGUUUAUCACAGUAUUUUUUUUUCCUGCUGACCUAUUGCUAUACCAACAAUGUUGAGUGGCAUUUUCUUUUUAGUUUUUCAUUUCUUAAAGAAAAUAUACUCCAUAUCUACAGCUAUCAUAUCAAAUAAAGUGAUUGUUUUUUACAACCCCCUUAACAUUUUUGGAGAUGACAUUUCUGAUUUUCAGAAAUUAACAUAAAAUCCAGAAGCAAGAUUCCAUAAGCUGAGAACUGUGGACAGCUGAUCAGCUUUUCCUAUGGUGCUUUGCCUUUAACUAGAGUGUGUGAUGGUAGAUUAUUUCAGAUAUGUAUGUAAGACUGUUUCCUGAACAAUAAGAUGAAUGAAAGGAGCAGAAAUAAAUACUUUUUCUAAUUAAAAAAAA